rnacentral:rRNA from 2 species
GASGAACGCUGGCGGCGUGCCUAAUACAUGCAAGUCGAGCGGACWGAUGGGAGCUUGCUCCCUGARGUCAGCGGCGGACGGGUGAGUAACACGUGGGCAACCUGCCUGUAAGACUGGGAUAACUCCGGGAAACCGGGGCUAAUACCGGAUAAYUCUUUCCCUCACAUGAGGGAAAGCUGAAAGAUGGUUUCGGCUAUCACUUACAGAUGGGCCCGCGGCGCAUUAGCUAGUUGGUGAGGUAACGGCUCACCAAGGCGACGAUGCGUAGCCGACCUGARAGGGUGAUCGGCCACACUGGGACUGAGACACGGCCCAGACUCCUACGGGAGGCAGCAGUANGGAAUCUUCCGCAAUGGACGAAAGUCUGACGGAGCAACGCCGCGUGAGUGAUGAAGGUUUUCGGAUCGUAAAACUCUGUUGUCAGGGAAGAACAAGUACCGGAGUAACUGCCGGUACCUUGACGGUACCUGACCAGAAAGCCACGGCUAACUACSUGC